rnacentral:rRNA from 1 species
UGUUAGCCAUCUAGAAGCAGGACGGUGGCAUGGAAGUCGGAAUCCGCUAAGGGAGUGUGUAACAACUCACCUGCCGAAUGUGCUAGCCCUGAAAAUGGAUGGCGUUAAGCGUGUUACCCAUACCUACCGUCAGUUGUUGUAGGACGCGCUGACGAGUGGCAGGCGUGGAGGUUUGUGACGAAGCUUAGGCAGUGAUGCUGAGUGAAACAGCCUCUAGUGCAGAUCUUGGUGGUAGUAGCAAAUAUUCAAGUGAGAACCUUGAAGACUGAAGUGGAGAAAGGUUCCAUGGUAACAGCAGUUGGACAUGGGUUAGCCGAUCCUAAGAGAUAGGGAAAUUCCGUAUUAAAGUACACGCUUGUUCGUGUCGCCUAUCGAAAGGGAAUCCGGUUAAGAUUCCGGAGCCAGGAUGUGGAUUUUUUGACGGUAACGUAACUGAACUAGGAGACGUCGGCGAGAGCCCUGGGAAGAGUUAUCUUUUCUCCUUAACAGUCUAACCACCUUGAAAUCGGAUUAUCCGGAGCUAAGGUAGUAUGGCUGGCAGAGCCCAACACUUCUGUUGGGUCCGGUGCGCUCUCGACGCCUUGAAAUCCUAGGAACGAAUAAUUUUCACGCCUGUCGUACUCAUAACCGCAGCAGGUCUCCAAGUGAACAGCCUCUAGUAUAGAUAAUGUAGAUAGGGAAGUCGCAAUUAGAUCCGUAACUUCGGAAAGGAUUGGCUUAAGGCUUGGGUACAUUGGGGUUGGUGGAAGAUGGCGGACCUUGCUUGGACUGUCUGUUUACGCGGAUGGACUAGCGAGGACUGUAUGGAUCGCUUCCUUGUCCUCGGAUGACUGGUGACGUUAACAACGACUUAGAACUGGUACGGACAAGGGAACUGACUGUCUAAUUAAAACAUAGAUUGCGAUGGCCAGAAAUGGUGUUGACGCAAUGUGAUUUCUGCCAGUGCUUGAAUGUCAAGGAAGAAUUCAACCAAGCGGGUAAACGGCGGAGUAACUAUGAUCUCUUAAGGUAGCCAAUGCCUCGUCAUCUAUUAGUGACGCGCAUGAAUGGAUUAACGAGAUUCCACUGUCCUAUCUACUAUCUAGCGAAACCACAGCCAAGGAAGGGUUGCAGAAUCAGCGGGGAAAGAAACCUGUUGAGCUUGACUCUAGUUGACAUUGUGAAAGACAUAGAGGGUGUAGAAUAAGUGGGAGCUUCGGCGCGGUGAAAUACCACUACUUUAUCGUCUUUUACUAUUCAAUGAGCGGAGCUGGAUUUAACGAUCCACCUUUUGGAGUUAAGGUGCUUUAUGCGCUGAUCCGGGUUGAAGACAUUGUCAGGUGG